rnacentral:rRNA from 1 species
AUUGAACGCUGGCGGUAGGCCUAACACAUGCAAGUCGAACGGCAGCACAGUAAGAGCUUGCUCUUACGGGUGGCGAGUGGCGGACGGGUGAGGUAUACAUCGGAAUCUACUUUUUCGUGGGGGAUCACGUAGGGAAACUUACGCUAAUACCGCAUACGACCUACGGGUGAAAGCAGGGGAUCUUCGGACCUUGCGCGAUUGAAUGAGCCGAUGUCGGAUUAGCUAGUUGGCGGGGUAAAGGCCCACCAAGGCGACGAUCCGUAGCUGGUCUGAGAGGAUGAUCAGCCACACUGGAACUGAGACACGGUCCAGACUCCUACGGGAGGCAGCAGUGGGGAAUAUUGGACAAUGGGCGCAAGCCUGAUCCAGCCAUACCGCGUGGGUGAAGAAGGCCUUCGGGUUGUAAAGCCCUUUUGUUGGGAAAGAAAAGCAGCAGGUUAAUACCCCGCUGUGCUGACGGUACCCAAAGAAUAAGCACCGGCUAACUUCGUG